CGCCCCAAGACCCUGCCCCUGCUCGGCCUUUUCCCCGCGAGGCCCCUCCCGCCGCUCGCACAGAGGAGAGGGGGCAGAGAGGAGCAUCCGCCAGCAAUAAUAGAAGUCAGCGCCUGUGUCCGAAUCUAAGAGAAUACUGACGAACUGGCACCUUUAUAAAGAACUUUACGCCGUCUUAUUUCACUCUCCAACAGCUCGGUAUGUUUAUGUAACGAAGCUUACUGUUGCCAAGUGGAGCAGGGUGCUGUCAAGCGUUUUGAAAUGCCAGUAAAUUCAGAAACAUGGUUUGGAAGCUGUCAGCUGAACUUUGCUGGUGGAGCUUAAACCGGCCGAGCAUAUCUGUGUGUGAUGUGCGCGGUCACCUAGAUUUUAGGUGGUAUGGAUGGGAGUAGGAAAAACUCAUCUCUAACUGACUUUCGUAGCUUCAUCUUCACAUCCCCCACCAACUCUAACUUGUUUUGGAGGCAGCUGUGCGUGUGACUGGUUUAGUGUACAUCACAUCACCGGUAGAUUGUCGGUGGCCUUUCGGAAACUUCCAUGCUGUCACUUCUCAAUGUCAUUCUUCAGAUUGACAAGGCAGCGUUCUAUGGAGAAUGGGAAACAGCAGGCAAGUCAUCUGAACAGCUGAAUUCUACCCACAACAUCCCGCAGCAGGCUGGUUUGUCUUCUCAAACCAUGGAAAGCGUAAGUUGGGAAACUGAAAAAAUACUGGUCAAGGAAUCUGCCCUUUGGAGCCUUGGGUGUCAGAGAUGUGUCAGGUAAGCGCUUUAGGGGCAGGGACUGUCUUUUUGUUCUGUGUGUGUACAGCACCUAGCACACUGGGGUCCAUGACUGGGGCUCCUAGAAGCUAUGGUCAGACAAAGAAUAAAUAAUGACAAUCAGAGGGUAGCA
rnacentral:lncRNA from 1 species